GUGCCAGCCGCCGCGGUAAUACGAAGGGGGCUAGCGUUGCUCGGAAUCACUGGGCGUAAAGGGUGCGUAGGCGGACAUUUAAGUCAGGGGUGAAAGCCUGAGGCUCAACCUCAGAAUUGCCUUUGAUACUGGGUGUCUCGAGACCGGUAGAGGUGAGUGGAACUGCGAGUGUAGAGGUGAAAUUCGUAGAUAUUCGCAAGAACACCAGUGGCGAAGGCGGCUCACUGGACCGGUUCUGACGCUGAGGCACGAAAGCGUGGGGAGCAAACAGGAUUAGAUACCCUCGUAGUCC
rnacentral:rRNA from 1 species